CAAUAAUGUAUUUGGAUUUAUAUAAGAUAUGUUUGGACAAUUUUAAAACAUUGACGUGCAUGUUCGCAUAGAAUCAGCCAUACAAAAUGACUAGAAACCGACUUAUUUCUAGAAAAUGCCAUCUUGUCCUAAUCAAAUAGCUCUACUUUUUUUUUUUUUUUAUAAUUAAAAUCCGAAAACUAUAUAUCUCUAUAUUUUGAUAAUUGUGUGACUUAUAAAUUUUGUCUUAUGUAUUUUAAAUAAUGUAUCCUCGGCUUUCGCAAAUUCAAAAAC
rnacentral:lncRNA from 1 species